rnacentral:tRNA from 1 species
GGGGAGAUGUCUCAGCAGUUAAGAGUACUAGACUAGCUGCUCUUCCAGAGGUCCUGAGUUCAAUUCCCAGCAACCCCA